rnacentral:piRNA from 1 species
UGGGAUUAAAGGUGUGUGCCACCAUUAC